AUUGAACGCUGGCGGCAGGCCUAACACAUGCAAGUCGAACGAGUGGCGGACGGGUGAGUAAUGUCUGGGAAACUUCCUGAUGGAGGGGGAUAACUACUGGAAACGGUAGCUAAUACCGCAUACCAUCAGAUUUGCCCAGAUGGGAUUCGCUUGUGGGUGGGGUAACGGCUCACCUAGGCGACGAUCCCUAGCUGGUCUGAGAGUAUGACCAGCCAAACUGGAACUGAGACACGGUCCAUAGUCGUACGGGAGGCAGCAGGGGGGAAUAUUGCACAAUGGGCGAAAGCCGGAUGCAGCAAUGCCGCGGGUAUGAAGAAGGCCUUCGGGUUGGAAAGUACUUUCAGCGGGGAGGCGUUACCCGCAGAAGAAGCACCGGCUAACUCCGUGCCAGCAGCCGCGGUAAUAC
rnacentral:rRNA from 1 species